rnacentral:rRNA from 1 species
GCAUCUCUGUUUUGUUCAAAUCACAAAAAGCAAAUGAUUUUCAGUCAGUACAGUGGUAACGAAAAAACACAGAAAAAGUUGUUCUACGGAAUCAAUAACUCCUAGAAGCACUUGUUCUAUUGGUUUCAGUUGACACAUUCAACACAAAAUGGCCUAGUUCACCUCUGCCCAGCCGAUUCACUUGUGAUGUAUGCAUCGCUAGAACAGAAAAAAUCGUAGAAAUGGAACAAUUCUGGGGCUGGGCAUUACCAAGCAAAGCUCUAGCUAGGACACCGACGCUGAUCUCCAAGCACCCCGGCGGGAGCGGGGCAGCUCGCGUUCGUGACCACGUCGUGGAGCACAAAUGCCUGUGGUGGUCCGAUGUUGGGACCGCUUGAGCUCCUCGGCGCCGCCGCCUGCCUCGUCUCCGUCUCGCAACGACUCCGGCGAGGACAGAGCAGCCCGCCCCAUCUCCGCCGUGCGUCGUCCCGAGGCUGGUCCGGUGGCGCUCCUCCGCGCAGACGCCGGCCUCGUCUCCGCCGCAACUCCGGCUAGGACAGAGUCCUGAGCAGGCGGACCGGCAGGCGAGGAAGGCCGCAGCGUCCCCGGCCAAACUUGGAGGGAUGGCGCUGGCUGCGCCUCGGCGCCGACGAGGAGCCUCACGCCGAGCGGCACCCCCACCCCCUCCCUGUCUGAUCGAUAUCUCAGCCGGCCCACCUCGUCGCCGGUGCAUGGCCGCCUCCUCCGUGCCCCGCGGAGAAGUUUUGCUUGGGUGUGGGCUGCGAGGCGAGAGGAGUGGAUAAGGUAGUGCGCAC